AGAGUUUGAAUCAUGGCUCAGGAUGAACGCUGGCGGCGUGCCUAAUACAUGCAAGUCGAACGAGUUCUCGUUGAUGAUCGGUGCUUGCACCGAGAUUCAACAUGGAACGAGUGGCGGACGGGUGAGUAACACGUGGGUAACCUGCCCUUAAGUGGGGGAUAACAUUUGGAAACAGAUGCUAAUACCGCAUAGAUCCAAGAACCGCAUGGUUCUUGGCUGAAAGAUGGCGUAAGCUAUCGCUUUUGGAUGGACCCGCGGCGUAUUAGCUAGUUGGUGAGGUAAUGGCUCACCAAGGCGAUGAUACGUAGCCGAACUGAGAGGUUGAUCGGCCACAUUGGGACUGAGACACGGCCCAAACUCCUACGGGAGGCAGCAGUAGGGAAUCUUCCACAAUGGACGCAAGUCUGAUGGAGCAACGCCGCGUGAGUGAAGAAGGCUUUCGGGUCGUAAAACUCUGUUGUUGGAGAAGAAUGGUCGGCAGAGUAACUGUUGUCGGCGUGACGGUAUCCAACCAGAAAGCCACGGCUAACUACGUGCCAGCAGCCGCGGUAAUACGUAGGUGGCAAGCGUUAUCCGGAUUUAUUGGGCGUAAAGCGAGCGCAGGCGGUUUUUUAAGUCUGAUGUGAAAGCCCUCGGCUUAACCGAGGAAGCGCAUCGGAAACUGGGAAACUUGAGUGCAGAAGAGGACAGUGGAACUCCAUGUGUAGCGGUGAAAUGCGUAGAUAUAUGGAAGAACACCAGUGGCGAAGGCGGCUGUCUGGUCUGUAACUGACGCUGAGGCUCGAAAGC
rnacentral:rRNA from 1 species